rnacentral:tRNA from 1 species
GAAAUAUGAUAACAAGAAUGAGCUUCUAACUCUUUUCUUAAGCGAUGAAAAUUCGUUUAUAUUUCU